UACGGGGGGGGCAAGCGUUGUUCGGAAUUACUGGGCGUAAAGGGUUCGUAGGUGGCCAACUUAGUCAGACGUGAAAUCCCUCAGCUUAACUGGGGAACUGCGUCUGAUACUGGAUGGCUUGAGUGCAGGAGAGGAACGCGGAAUUCCAGGUGUAGCGGUGAAAUGCGUAGAUAUCUGGAGGAACACCGGUGGCGAAGGCGGCGUUCUGGACUGCAUCUGACACUGAGGAACGAAAGCCAGGGGAGCAAACGGG
rnacentral:rRNA from 1 species